UGGGGAAUUUUGGACAAUGGGCGAAAGCCUGAUCCAGCAAUGCCGCGUGUGUGAAGAAGGCCUUCGGGUUGUAAAGCACUUUUGUCCGGAAAGAAAUCCUUGGCUCUAAUACAGUCGGGGGAUGACGGUACCGGAAGAAUAAGCACCGGCUAACUACGUGCCAGCAGCCGCGGUAAUACGUAGGGUGCAAGCGUUAAUCGGAAUUACUGGGCGUAAAGCGUGCGCAGGCGGUUUGCUAAGACCGAUGUGAAAUCCCCGGGCUCAACCUGGGAACUGCAUUGGUGACUGGCAGGCUAGAGUAUGGCAGAGGGGGGUAGAAUUCCACGUGUAGCAGUGAAAUGCGUAGAGAUGUGGAGGAAUACCGAUGGCGAAGGCAGCCCCCUGGGCCAAUACUGACGCUCAUGCACGAAAGCGUGGGGAGCAAACAGGAUUAGAUACCCUGGCAGUCCACGCCCUAAACGAUGUCAACUAGUUGUUGGGGAUUCAUUCCUUAGUAACGUAGCUAACGCGUGAAGUUGACCGCCUGGGGAGUACGGUCGCAAGAUUAAAACUUAAAGGAAUUGACGGGGUCAUAGCUGUUUCCU
rnacentral:rRNA from 1 species